GAUGAAGAACGCAGCGAAAUGCGAUAAGUAAUGUGAAUUGCAGAAUUCCGUGAAUCAUCGAAUCUUUGAACGCACAUUGCGCCCCCUGGUAUUCCGGGGGGCAUGCCUGUCCGAGCGUCAUUGCAACCUUCAAGCGCGGCUUGUGUGUUGGGUCUCGUCCCCCGUGGACGGGCCCGAAAGGCAGUGGCGGCGUCCCGACAUGGUGCCCGAGCGUAUGGGAAUCCUCUUCCGCUCGAAUCGGCCCAUGCGGCGCUGGUCCUAACCAAAUUUUUUACCGGUUGACCUCGGAUCAGGUAGGGAUACCCGCUGAACUUAAGCAUAUCAAUAGCGGAGGA
rnacentral:misc_RNA from 1 species